rnacentral:rRNA from 1 species
GACGAACGCUGGCGGCGUGCCUAAUACAUGCAAGUCGAGCGGACGGAUGGGAGCUUGCUCCCAGACCGUCAGCGGCGGACGGGUGAGUAACACGUGGGCAACCUGCCUGUAAGACUGGGAUAACUCCGGGAAACCGGGGCUAAUACCGGAUAACUCUUUCCCUCACCUGAGGGAAAGCUGAAAGAUGGCAUCUCGCUAUCACUUACAGAUGGGCCCGCGGCGCAUUAGCUAGUUGGUGAGGUAACGGCUCACCAAGGCGACGAUGCGUAGCCGACCUGAGAGGGUGAUCGGCCACACUGGGACUGAGACACGGCCCAGACUCCUACGGGAGGCAGCAGUAGGGAAUCUUCCGCAAUGGGCGAAAGUCUGACGGAGCAACGCCGCGUGAGUGAUGAAGGUCUUCGGAUCGUAAAACUCUGUUGUCAGGGAAGAACAAGUACCGGAGUAACUGCCGGUACCUUGACGGUACCUGACCAGAAAGCCACGGCUAACUACGUG